UGAGGCGUGGCUUCCGGAGCUAACGCGUUAAGUCGACCGCCUGGGGAGUACGCCCGCAAAGGUAAAACUCAAAUGAAUUGACGGGGGCCCGCACAAGCGGUGGAGCAUGUGGUUUAAUUCGAUGCAACGCGAAGAACCUUACCUACUCUUGACAUCCAGAGAACUUUCCAGAGACGGAUUGGUGCCUUCGGGAACUCUGAGACAGGUGCUGCAUGGCUGUCGUCAGCUCGUGUUGUGAAAUGUUGGGUUAAGUCCCGCAACGAGCGCAACCCUUAUCCUUUGUUGCCAGCGGUUAGGCCGGGAACUCAAAGGAGACUGCCAGUGAUAAACUGGAGGAAGGUGGGGAUGACGUCAAGUCAUCAUGGCCCUUACGAGUAGGGCUACACACGUGCUACAAUGGCGCAUACAAAGAGAAGCGACCUCGCGAGAGCAAGCGGACCUCAUAAAGUGCGUCGUAGUCCGGAUUGGAGUCUGCAACUCGACUCCAUGAAGUCGGAAUCGCUAGUAAUCGUAGAUCAGAAUGCUACGGUGAAUACGUUCCCGGGCCUUGUACACACCGCCCGUCACACCAUGGGAGUGGGUUGCAAAAGAAGUAGGUAGCUUAACCUUCGGGAGGGCGCUUACCACUUUGUGAUUCAUGACUGGGGUGAAGUCGUAACAAGGUAACCAAGGGCGAAUUCCAG
rnacentral:rRNA from 1 species